CCUACGGGUGGCAGCAGUGGGGAAUAUUGGGCAAUGGGCGCAAGCCUGACCCAGCAACGCCGCGUGAAGGAAGAAGGCUUUCGGGUUGUAAACUUCUUUUCUCAGGGACGAAGCAAGUGACGGUCCCUGCUGAAUAAGCCACGGCUAACUACUGGCCAGCAGCCGCGGUAAUACGUAGGUGGCAAUCGUGAUCCGGAUUUACUUGUUGUAAAGGGCGUGUAGGCGGGGACGCAAGUCAGAGGUGAAAACCACGGGCUCAACCUAUGGCCUGCAUUUGAAACUGUGAGUCUUGAGUACUGGAGAGGCAGGCGGAAUUCGUGGUGUAGCGGUGAAAUGCGUAGAUAUCAGGAAGAACACCGGUGGCGAAGGCGGUCUGCUGGACAGAAACUGACGCUGAGGCGCGAAAGCGUGGGGAGCAAACAGGAUUAGAUACCCGAGUAGUC
rnacentral:rRNA from 1 species